rnacentral:rRNA from 1 species
CCUACGGGCGGCAGCAGUGGGGGAUAGUGCACAAUGGGGGAAACCCUGAUGCAGCGACGCCGCGUGUGGGAAGACGGUCCUCUGGAUUGUAAACCACUGUCCCCAGGGACGAAGAUGACGGUACCUGGGGAGGAAGCGCCGGCUAACUACGUGCCAGCAGCCGCGGUAAGACGUAGGGAGCGAGCGUUGUCCGGAAUUACGGGGGGUAAAGGGAGCGUAGGCGGGACUGCAAGUUGGGUGUCAAAUCUACCGGCUCAACCGGGAGCCGCACUCCAAACUGCAGUUCUUGAGUGCAGUAGAGGCAGGCGGCAUUCCUAGUGUAGCGGUGACAUGCGUAGAUAUUAGGAGGAACCCCAGUGGCGACGGCGGCCUGCUGGGCUUUUCCUGACGCUGAGGCUCGACAGUGUGGGGAGCAAACAGGAUUCGAUACCCCGGUAGUC